AAACCCUAUCUCUCUCUCUCUCUCUCUCUCUCUCUCUCUCUAACAUAUGCAGUGAGCAUGUUCUUCCGGCGGCACUUGCUCUCUUGCUUCCUCCUGCUCCUGCUACUGUCACGCUUGCCAAGCUCGAUCGUCCUCGGCUUCAGAACAUCGAGAGGAGAGGAAGGCAAGAGCGAGUUGAUGAGGCGCCAUGAUGAGCAUGAGUUUCCGCCAGCCGUAUCUCCUUCAAAAGAGGUGGACGCCGCCAGUAAGUUCACGGUUUCAAGAAGAAUGGUUCCUCAAGGUCCGAACCCUCUCCACAACAGAUGAGAGGAUCGGAGCAGCACAUGCAUAUGCCACCUCUUCUCAAGUCUCAGCUACUACGGGUGUGCAGUGCACUCGACAAAGUACCCUUCUCCUCUUCCUUUUUUUUUUGUUUAGCCUAGACUGGACGAUACAGAUGGAUGCAUAUAUAAUUCCUAUGGAUGUAAUGUAGUGUGUGUGUGUGUGUGUUUUUGUUGCAUUGAUUUAAUUUGCAGGCGGCUCAGCUCUGUACAUACAUCUUUUUUAUCUUUAUGAUACUAUUAAGGUGUACCUGUAUGGAUCUGGAUUCUCUACGUCUAUUUAAUUUA